GUGGCUCAGUGGUAGAGUGCUUGCCUUGCAUGCAUGAGGCCCUGGGUUUGAUUCCCCAGC
rfam:Dipodomys ordii contig_16959, whole genome shotgun sequence.